GUCCACAUCUGAAACAUGUGUUAGUCCCAGCUCGACACACUCCCCUGUGUGGUCUUCCACAUCUCUGGCAUUCUGUACCAUCUGAGCCUGAGCUCGAGCCACCGCCAAAUCCCAGACCGGAUUUCAACUUGUUCCAAAACUUAUUCUUCUUCGGCUUCCUGGUGGUGUUAUCCCACCUCUUCUUCCCUGAGCUCUGAGAAGAGAACCCUGGUCCUCCUCUGCCUGGGGUCUUAACCCCUGAAGACUGGGUCACUGACUGCUUCACUGACCCCUCAACUAUAGCACUCGCUUCCAUCCUUCGAGCCAUAUCCA
rnacentral:lncRNA from 1 species